rnacentral:rRNA from 1 species
UACAGAGACCUCAAGCGUUAUCCGGAAUCAUUGGGCGUAAAGCGUACCGAUAGGUGGUUUUGUUAGCCAGUGGUGAAAUCUCCGAGCUUAACUCGGAAUCUGUCCAUUGGAACUGCAAAACUAGAGGGGCAAAGAGGAAGCUGGAACGAACGGUGUAGUAGUGAAAUGCGUUGAUAUCGUUCGGAACACCAAUAGCGAAGGCAGGCUUCUGGGUGCCACCUGACACUGCUAGGACGAAAGCGUGGGGAGUGAAUGGG